GUGCUUGCUUCGGCAGCACAUAUACUACAAUUGGAAAGAUACAGAGAUUAGCAUGGCCCCUGUGCGAGGAUGACACACAAAUUCGUGAAGCAUUCCAUAUUUUU